CUUAGUAAAAAAAUACACAUGAUGUGCUUAAAAGUUUGAUGUACAAAAUUAAUGUAUAUAUCAUAAAAAAAAUUCUCUAGAGGCAUGAAACCAUGUACAGUGACUGGACGUGCACCAGUGUCCUAUGGACACACAUCUUGUUUAGUCUAUAAAUUGUUUUUACUUUCAUAAAUUGAAAUAGUUGUAAUUAAUCAAAUUAUAUUUUUGAUAAGUCUAUACCCCAGUCUACUUUAAAGACGGUUUAGAAAACACUUUGAGCAAAGAGACAGCCUCUUUAAUAUUGCUGAUAACCCGAUAAACAUUUUCACAUUGUGUUGUUGUGUAAACCUCACUGCAGUUCAUUGUAACAUAAAAUACGGAAGUGUAGCAGCAAUGUGUUUUAUUGAAGCUACUUUAAACUACUCAAGUCAAUAAACCAGUGGUUAAAACCACAUCCUACGGGUAGCCUUUUUGUCAGCAAAUUGAUAGUUAAAUUUAUCGGUACAGAGAAGACAAAGUGAAAGACUAUGGCAAACUGCAACUGGCUAUGGAGUAUUAUUUGGUUUAUAAUUUUACUGGCAUUUGGAUUUCCCAUCGGGUUCUUCUGUGCAAUACUCUAUGUACUGAUAAGCCCAUUUUCGGCUUGCUGUAGCGGUUGUAUGGAAGUUGUAAACUUGCUAGAGAGAGGAUUUAAGUUACCAAUGACGUGUGCACAGAAUAUGGUCAGCGGGAAAUCUCUUUGCUAGACCUUUAUAUACCGCAAGCUUUAUAUUGAAAGUGUAUUUCUGGCAAAGAAUGUAAGCUAUGUAAGGAUGCAAAGGGAUUGUUCAUGAAACUGCAUAUUAAACUGAUGUAAGAUGGACCAAAUUCAAUAAAAACAACAUUUUAUACAGCUGUAAAUCACUGCAGUGGAUAAUAUUCAAGUUGUUGAAAUGAACUGCAGAAUAAAGAGUGCAUGUCACAUGGUAAAGAAGGAUGCAAUCUGUUCGAGAUGUUACAUAAACCUGAUGGGCCGAUCAAUCAAACAGCAUUCCAUAUGGCUCUAAAGAAUUACAUUUAGAUUAUAUUUGUUUAAUGUAGUUACCAGCCAUCUUAAAUAUUUUCAUUGCUUUCUAUGCUAUAUGGGCAUUGCUUUUAAAGUGAGGGAUAUUUAUUGUUGAUGUACAUAAGUGUUUUAGCAUGUUAAGUGCUUACAGGAUGCUGAAGCUGUCCUUAUUUAUACCGCUAACAUAUGAGCCAUGCCAUGAGAAAACCAACAUAGUGGGUUUGCGACCAGCAUGGAUCCAGACCAGCCUGCGCAUCCGCACAGUCUGGUCAGGAUCCAUGCUGUUCGCUAUCAAAGCCUAUUGGAAUUAGAGAAACUGUUAGCGCGGCUCAUAUGAUUUCUUAUGCUGAAUAUUUGUAUCAAUGUAUUUUGUCACUUUGAUUUUUUAUAUAUCUUUCAAUGAAACCUAAACCCACAAUAUUAGUAGAUUACUAGCUUUGUAUCAAGAUUAUAUGCACAAGUGCUGUGGCAGAAACUUUAAAAGUGCAGUUUUAUUUUGCUAAAGAACGAGUGCAUAUUUCCACAUGCAAUGCUAAUAAUCUUUUUAUUACAUGCCGGUAUGUAUCUACAGAUAUAAAUAUUAUACAAAUAUUAUGAAUUUGUUCAACAGCCUGAAUAAAAUUCACGAUACUGACGUAAAUAAAAAAGUUAACGCAAUGAUGCACAAAAAAUGAUGUCACACACACAUGACACACAUUACAAAAUUCAUCUGACAAGAUGGAAAAAAUAUUGACAUUUUCGGUUUCAUUGUAACUUAACGGAGAAUAAAAAUGAGUAUAUUAUAAAUAGUUUUCUUCAACUCAAAAUAAAUAUAGAAGAUAUUUGUGACAGUGAAAAAUCAAAAUCUUUGACAGAUUCGAAACUGAGUUAUGAAACUAGGUCAUAAGGCCAAGCGAUAGAAAAACCUGGUUAACACUAUGUAGGCCAUAUUUUCUAACUUAUCUUAAUGAACUAUAGUCAGAAUGUAUUUAUCCCCAGCAAAAGGCGGAGGGAUUCUGGUAUAGAUUAGGCAUUGUCUGUUCUUUUGUUCGUUCGUCUGUCUGUGUGCCCAAAAUUUAAAUUGCUUAUACUAUACUGGUAAUUCAAGAAGUAUUUUAUCUGGAACCAGCAAACCUCAAAUAAUUAUUAAUUAACUUUGACCUUUGCUCACAUACAGUAUUACCUCCCCCUCUCCCCUUGAACCAGUAAAAGCAGAGGUUUUCCCAUUGAUUUGGUAAAAAGUAGGCAUUUUUUACUGUAUCUUAUUACCUAUUGGUAAAUCUUCAUGACUCUACGCAAAUGUAGGUACAUAGGGUGGUGGUGUACAUGUGCAACUUUUGUCAGGACCACUGCAGUGACUUCAGAGUUAUUGCCCUUUAAUUGUUUUACAAUUCAUACUUUCCCAGGUAACAAAGUAAUCAAUUUGCCACACUUUACCCAACAAAUUGAAUAUUGGCACAGAAAAUUGAUAAUCUGAUGAAAAGCUUUUUACAUUUCAUUUUGUACUAGACCUUUCUUCAAAUAGUGUAUUAAAUUGUAUACUAUAAUUGAGGAGUAGUAUAUAGGCUUAAAAAAAAAAAUUGUUUCCGGUAUCCCGACCUACCCUAAAUUUUUGGCCCGACCCUAAAUGUUUUUAUGGCCUUCGAGAAUAUUUUUUUCAACUUCUUUACAAAAAGUUGCAAAACUGCACUUUCUAUGCUUUAAACACGGUCAGUAAUGUUAGAAAUCAACUUACUGAUGCUCUAAAGCCCCAAUUUUUCUGAGCAUGUUACCGGAAACAAAGAAUUUUUUUUUAGGCCUAACAUUCAACUGAAAUGUGACUGAAUUCUAAUUAUUUUUCAUGAAAUUUCAUUCACCAAAGACAAAUAUAUCAAUAGGUCUUGGAACAAACCACCAGAUCUAAGAUUAAAGUCAGUGCCUGUCUAAAAAUCAUACCACCCCAAUAGUCAGGGAUUCAAAUUACAUGUAUUUAAGUUCGCUAUCAUGUUUAUGCUUAUUGAUUGCUCAGUUAGCUGCUAAACAUUGUAUUUUUUGGUACUGUUGCUCAAUACAGAUUUUUUAUUUUGUUAUCAUCGAGUACUGUAGUUUUUGUCUUAGCUUUAUAUGUUAGUGUUUUGAUUAAAUAUGAUAACUUAAGUUUAAAAUAGCCUGCUGGUUGCUUACAUCUAUAUAAAAUAUUGUUUUCAGUAUGAACACAAAAAUUCUUUGAUGUUGUGACACACUGAUACAAAAACUUUAAUAUUUCAUAUUGUUCUUGAAUAGUCACACUCCCUUUAACCCGUAUCAUGCAGGACACGAUUGAUUCUGCCUUUGCGACCAGUGUAGACCAAGAUCAGCCUGCACAUCCGUCCAGUCUGAUCAUGGUCUACACUGUUCGCUAUUCAGUCAGUAAAUUUUCAGUAAACACCCCUUCAAAUGAUAAAUGGUACUGCCAAAAUGGGAAGAUGGACCAGUCCAUUAUAGAAAUUUAGCAUGGUAAAGGUUAAUAGCAUUGACUAAGAAUCCGCCAAGAGUAUAGAAUGGUGCAAUUGCCAUCUUCAGGUAGAUAUUAAAGCAGCACAAAUCUACUCACAUUGUCUGCUGUAAAACAUAUACUGUGUUUGUUUGAUGUGAAUUACACUUAAAAUUUUGUACUUGUAUGUCAUGUUAAAAUCCGUUUUAAAUGUAUUUGGACUCUACGUCAAAUUCGACAAAUCAUGAUUCAGAUUGUGUCAUAGCAACUUUGAAUGCAUUUACAUCUCAGUAUAUCACAGUAAAAAAAAAAUGUUGCCUAAUUAAAGGGGCAGCGACAGGGUGUGAACACAUACUAAAGAUUUAGCAUGAAAUAUGAAAAAGAGGUUCUAAUGACAAAGUACAUUUAAAAUGUAUACAUGCACAUGUACAUGAAGGUACGCCAAUAGAUUUAGCAAAAAACACGGGUUGUAGUAUGAAAUUAGCUGUACUUUUGAAAUAUCAGUACUUUACAUUGAGUUUGAUAUUUUACAGACUGCUAUUUUAAAACAAGGUAUUUUGAGAAACCUAUGGAGGCAUGCUUCGUGUAACAGCUUUCAAUAAUUGAAGCUUAGAAUGAUGGUGCUAGAAGUCAGUAUUUAGAGAACUACGAGCACUGCCGUUCAUGUUGUUGUGUAUAUUUAUGAUGAUGAUUUUGCAAAAUUAAAUAGUUUUCAAGAUAUUAUUUCUGACAUCUGAAGACUGGAGUGUGAAGUCUUCAAUUUUGUGAAUGGACAAUGGACUAAACAUUGAAAUGCUUUCAUGGUAGUACGAUAAGUUAAGACAAUUUCCUGAAAUCUGAAGAACUGGCCCCAUCUUAACCAAACAUUUUUCGGUCUCGGCAGAGUUUGAGGUUAAAAUUUUGGUAGCAAAUUGGCUAGAACUUCAAGAUCAAAUUCCAGUUGAUAAUGACCAUCACUUCUGUAUAAUCACUUUAAAAAAGUCAUUAACUUAACAUUUUUAAACAUGCAGUUUAGACGUAAAUGACAAAUAGCUUCAUUAUCAAACUCAGCUGUGCCUGAAAACGUUUUGUGAGUAUGAGGCCAGAGUAUGUCAGAGAUGUAUAAUGAUUACAUUGGUUGAUAUAUCCUGCUACUAUAUAGUCAGAAUUAUGUGCAAUAUUGUUAAAUGUAAGUUUCAUAUAAACCAUCUUGAUAUUGGUCAGGUAAAUUGCUUUGUAUAUCUUUGUAUCAUUAUUUGCAUAAUACAUUUCAGAACUAUCUUACUGUAUACUUUAUUAGAAUAAAGAUAUGCAAAAUUA